UGUAUGUAAGCUUGUUAAAGCCUGAUCUUGUCAGAAGCUUGUCUCAGAAGCUAAGCAGGGCUGGGCCUGUUUAGUACUUGGAUGGGAGACGUCUGAGAAUACCAGGUGACAC
rnacentral:rRNA from 1 species